rnacentral:tRNA from 1 species
GCCGAGGUCGCAUAAUCCGGUAGUGCGUCGGUCUCGAAAACCGAUCCCUUUGGGAUUGCAGGUUCAAAUCCUGCCCUCGGCG